AGUGGCUAGAACGUCAUGUUAAAUAAACAUCCAUGGUGUCGUACAGGUCCUGAUCUGCAUGUAGUGGGACGGUCUUCAGGAUUAUAUCAACCAUGGUGUCGUACAGGUCCUGAUCUGUGUGUAGUGGGACGGUCUUCAGGAUUAUAUCAACCAUGGUGUCGUACAGGUCCUGAACUGUGUGUAGUGGGACGGUCUUCAGGAUUAUAUCAACCAUGGUGUCGUACAGGUCCUGAUCUGUGUGUAGUGGGACAGUCUUCAGGAUUAUAUCAACCACGGUGUCGUACAGGUCCUGAACUGUGUGUAGUGGGACAUUCUUCAGGAUUAUAUCAACCAUGGUGGGGUGCAGGGGACUUCACUCUGGUUUCCUGGUCUCAUGUUCCUCCACUGUUUCAGACCUUGCAGGGUCCACGGACUCACCCUGUCUUCCUCUCUGUGAAAGAAACAGGCCGACACAGCCAGAAAGGUUAAUUUACAGAACAGAUGUUCUCCUUGAAUGAAACAGGCCGACACAGCCAGAGAGGUUAAUUUACAGAACCUGUAUAUCAGGGCUGCCCAACCCUGUUCCUGGAGAUCUACUGUCCUGUAGAUUUACUCUCCCACUCUAAUUUAGCACACCUGAUUCUGAUUAUAUGGUGGAUGAAAAUCUUAACCAGAUUAAGGAAUAGGGUUGGGCAGCCCUGCUGUACAUAAUUAACCCACAUACCGUAAAAUAAAUAAAUCUUAAUAAAAACCAUAAAUCUUUUCACCAUCAAGUGUUUCAGAACAGAUUUUAUUGUGAUAACUAACCUUGUCUUUCUCCACUGUGUUUGUGUCUUUACAGUUAUAUCGGCGGUAAUUGGAUAUUCAACGACAACGACGUUGUUGGCUGGACGCUGUUGACCCAUGUGGAUCUUGGGGUCAGGUCUGACACGGGGAAAGCCAACCGAUCUCCCCAGACCACUGUCAUUCCUCUGAUGCGGUGAAUAGUCCAACUAUUACAGUUAUUUUCUUGAAGUCAUUUACUAUUGAGUACACACAUGCAUUUGAAACACUGUAAUAAUUAAACAUUUACAAAUAAAUCUCUCUCUUUUCUCUCCUCACUCUGCACCCGCACAGUGUCCCUGUUAAUUGUCAGAGACAUUUCCAGUUGUUGAACUUUGACCCAGAUGGAGAUGAGGUCAGAUGCAGAUAUGCAGAACCUCCAAACGAGUGUGUCACAGCAAGUAACGUUACAUCAAGUAACAUGCCUCAGGACUUCAGCAUACAACUGGUUAGAAUCUCAUUAAACUGCCUCUGGACUUCACUGUGGUUAGAGUCUAAAUAAACUGCCUCUAGACUUCACUGUGGUUAGAAUCUCAUUAAACUGCCUCUGGACUUCACUGUGGUUAGAGUCUAAAUAAACUGCCUCUAGACUUCACUGUGGUUAGAAUCUAAAUAAACUGCCUCUACACUGCACUCUGGUUAGUAUCUAAUUAAACUGCCUCUAGACUUCACUCUGGUUAGUAUCUAAUUAAACUGCCUCUAUGCUUCACUCUGGUUAGAAUUUAAUUAAACUGCCUCUAGACUUCACUUUGUUUAGAAUCUAAUUAAACUGCCUUUAGACUUCACUCUGGUUAGUAUCUAAUUAAACUGCCUCUAGACCUCUCUGAUUAGUAUUUAAUUAGACUGCCUCUAGACUUCACUCUGGUUAGAAUCUAAUUAAAUUGCGUCUACACUGCACUCUGGUUAGCAUUUAAUUAAACUGCCUCUAUACUUCAUUCUGGUUAGUAUUUCAUUAAACUGCCUCUAGACUUCACGCAGGUUAGUAUCUAAUUAAACUGCCUCUGGACUUCACGCUGGUCAGUAUCCAAUUAAACUGCUUCUAGACAUAACUCUGCUGAGUAACAAAUUAAAUUGCCUCUAGACUGUUUAUUGUUUUGUAUGAUGUCCUUUAAAACGAUCCAAAGUCACUAAAACAAACGCUACCAACAGAAGCAGUUUAGUGCCCAUAAUUUGGCCCUGUCAUCUUAAGAGGUUUCUGGCAAGUGUCUUCAGAUCUCCCGUGUCUCUUCCUGACUCCAGUGGUUUGCCAUUCUGCCUUAUUCUCUAAGUGUCUGGGUCUCUGACACAGGAGGCGCCUGGUAGGUAAGCAGGCAUAGGAGGUGUGGUGAACCAACAAACGGUACAUUGAACUAAUGUGUUGAGUCUUCUCUCCCUCAGGUGUCCUGCACUUUGUCCUUUUCCAGCAUCAGUAAUACCACUGGAACGUAUGUUGUUCAGAUGGUGAUGGAGGAUUUUCCUAUUCAGUCCAUCUCUCUCUUCUACAAUGACGGAACUCAAUCUAACAGGACUUCUGGUGAUACACUCAGCAAACUUCCCGUUCACUUUGCAAUAAGAGUGGAUCCCGCUGUUCCGUCCUGUACAGAGGGGGACUACCUACCCAUGUUCCUGUCUCCAACACCAGACCAGGGAGCAGUGCUCCUCGCCUCCACAGACCAACCACUGGAGAUCACUGUCAGAGCUCAGGCUACCCAGUCCACGGCUACAGAGCUGUUGGUGAGUGGACCUCAGAACAUCACAAAGAACACCACCAGCCCAGGACUGUACCUUCUAAGAUGGACGCCUACUACAGAGGAUGGAGGGGCUUAUCCUGUGUGCUUCAUCGCUCAGGGACUGAAUGGCAGUUCCCUGUACCAAUCUGAGCUGCGCUGUGUCAUCAUCCGUGUUGGAAACGAAAGUGCUCCUACAUCUACCAUUCCAAACAUAACCACCAAUCUCCCAGCCAUCUUAACUACCAAUCCCACAACCACCUCAAUCACCAAUCCCACAACCACCUCAAUCACCAAUCCCACAACCACCUCAAUCCCCAAUCCCACAACCACCUCAAUCCCCAAUCCCACAACCACCUCAAUCCCCAAUCCCACAACCACCUCAAUCUCCAAUCCCACAACCACCUCAAUCCCCAAUCCCACAACCACCUCAAUCCCCAAUCCCACAACCACCUCAAUCCCCAAUCCCACAACCACCUCAAUCCCCA
ensembl:lncRNA